rnacentral:rRNA from 1 species
ACGGGGGGAACCCUGAUGCAGCGACGCCGCGUGGGUGAAGAAGCGCCUCGGCGCGUAAAGCCCUGUCAGCAGGGAAGAAAAUGACGGUACCUGAAGAAGAAGCCCCGGCUAACUACGUGCC